CCUACGGGCGGCAGCAGUGGGGAAUAUUGGGCAAUGGGCGCAAGCCUGACCCAGCAACGCCGCGUGAAGGAAGAAGGCUUUCGGGUUGUAAACUUCUUUUCUCAGGGACGAAGAAAGUGACGGUACCUGUGGAAUAAGCCACGGCUAACUACGUGCAAGCAGCCGCGGUAAUACGUAGGUGGCAAGCGUUAUCCGGAUUCAUUGGGUGUAAAGGGCGUGUAGGCGGGAGCGCAAGUCAGAUGGAAAAACUCAGGGGUCAACCCUUGGCCUGCAUUUGAACCUGUGUUUCUUGAGUGCUGGAGAGGCAAGCGGAAUGCCGGGUGUAGCGGUGAAAUGCGUAGAUAGACGGAGGAACACCAGUGGCGAAGGCGGAUUGCUGGACAGUAACUGACGCUGAGGCGCGAAAGCGUGGGGAGCAAACAGGAUUAGAUACCCCAGUAGUC
rnacentral:rRNA from 1 species